AGACGUCAAAUGCUCAGACGUUCAUGGUUGUCAGUUGGCUUAUGUAGCUAUCCAAGUCUCAAAGUCUCCAAAAACGAAGUUCUCAUUUGAUUGAUUUUUUUCUCGUUGUGCUGUACAGUAUUGACAAGUAUUUAGCCAGCUAGCAGAAUUGUCAAAUUACGUAUGUAAUUGGCUCGUGCGUGAUUUCACACUGACACAACUACAACGACGAAGAUAACUUGGUUAACGACGAAGAUAACUUGGUUAACGACGUAUCUACGGUUGACGUUAUGUCAUUUAUUAACUUGUCCUUUGAAUUUACCGGUCGUUUCCCACGUUGGUCACUAACUAAGUAGCAUUUGUAAUGCGGUUGUGUAUCUCAGCAAAUGUAAGGGCUAAGCUUGGCUUUCGACGACGGACUUGGACAUCAAGCCUUUGAAAUUCACAAGGCAACGGUCGGUAGUAGCUUAGGGUAACAGUCGCUUGGCUGAAAAGCAGCAACAUCAGCUGACGUGCUAAGGUUGGCCAUAAAAAAUGAACUGGGUCGGGGGGUCACGGAGCCGAUGCAUGCUCAAAAAUGAUGCAAGAAGACAAAGGGAGUUCUUUGAAAAGAAAAAGAUGCAGAAAAAGAUAGAACAUUUAGGUUUAGCUGCAGAUCCACAGGGGGUUGCUACUGGCAGUAUAGACCUGAUCACAUUGUUUAUUGUGAACCAGAUUGCUGCAAAGAAGGAAA